CMCCKKGGGRRRKKGCRMYUUUCYGCCACCSRAUACAUUAGCAUGGGAUAAUGGAAUAGGACCCUGUCCUCCUAUUUUCAGUUGGUUUUGGCAGCGCGAGGACUAGGGUAAUGAUUAAUAGGGAUAGUUGGGGGCAUUAAUAUUUAAUUGUCAGAGGUGAAAUUCUUGGAUUUAUGAAAGAUUAACUUCUGCGAAAGCAUCUGCCAAGGAUGUUUUCAUUAAUCAAGAACGAAAGUUAGGGGAUCGAAGACGAUCAGAUACCGUCGUAGUCUUAACCAUAAACGAUGCCGACCAGCGAUUAGGAGACGUUGAAUACAAAACACCACCAUCGGCGCGGUCGUCCUUGGCGCGUUCGUGUUCACGCACGGGCGCGCGAGGGCGGCUUAGCCCGGUGGCACCGGUGAAUGACUCCCCUAGCAGCUUGKGAGAWGGUCC
rnacentral:rRNA from 1 species